rnacentral:rRNA from 1 species
UACAGAGGUCUCAACCGUUGUUCGGAUUCAUUGGGCGUAAAGGGUGCGUAGGCGGUCGCGCAAGUCGGAUGUGAAAUCUCAGGGCUCAACCCUGAAACUGCAUUCGAUACUGCAUGGCUAGAGUGCUGGAGAGGAGACUGGAAUUUACGGUGUAGCAGUGAAAUGCGUAGAUAUCAGGAGGAACACCGAUGGCGAAGGCAGAUCUCUGGGCCGUUACUGACGACUGGAGGAGCGAAAGCGUCGGGGAGCGAACAGG